rnacentral:tRNA from 1 species
GGGUGUAUAGCUCAGUCGGUAGAGCACUUGACUUUUAAUCAAUUGGUCUUGGGUUCAAGUCCCAAUGCGCCUA